GGCUCCAUAGUGUGGUGGUUAGCACGUUUGCUUUACAUGCAGAAGGUCCUGGGUUCGCACCCCAGGUGGAGCCA
rnacentral:tRNA from 1 species